UCCUGGGAUACGCCUUGGAGCCAUGGCUUA
rnacentral:piRNA from 1 species